UACGUAGGGGGCAAGCGUUAUCCGGAUUUACUGGGUGUAAAGGGAGCGUAGACGGAAUUGCAAGUCUGAUGUGAAAAUCCGGGGCCCAACCCCGGAAGUGCAUUGGAAACUGUAUUUCUAGAGUGUCGGAGAGGCAAGUGGAAUUCCUGGUGUAGCGGUGAAAUGCGUAGAUAUCAGGAGGAACACCGGCGGCGAAGGCGGCCUGCUGGACCGCGACUGACGUUGAGGCUCGAAAGCGUGGGGAGCGAAAAGG
rnacentral:rRNA from 1 species